rnacentral:rRNA from 1 species
UACGUAGGGUGCAAGCGUUAAUCGGAAUUACUGGGCGUAAAGCGUGCGCAGGCGGUUUUGUAAGUCAGAUGUGAAAUCCCCGGGCUUAACCUGGGAACUGCGUUUGAAACUACAAGGCUAGAGUGUGGCAGAGGGGGGUGGAAUUCCACGUGUAGCAGUGAAAUGCGUAGAUAUCAAGAGGAACACCAGUGGCGAAGGCGAGUCCCUGGACAAACCCUGACACUGAGGCACGAAAGCCAAGGGAGCAAACAGG